UGAUAAUGCCCAUAUCAGGGACUUGGCCUGU
rnacentral:piRNA from 1 species